GGUAUUUUGACUAUACAAAGGUAUUGAAAUAAGAUUUUAAUUGAAUGCUAAGAGAAUGGAAGUCCAGAAAAAAACUUUUUUUAAAUUAAAAAUUGAAGUUUUUUUAAUUUGUGCAGAAACAAUUAUUUAUAUUAAAGACAAGAAGACCCUAUGAAUUUAUUAAAUUUUUAUUUAAUAUGUAAUUACUAUUAGAAAAAUUUUGGCUGGGGCGGCUAGAAAAUAUUAUAAACUUUUUAAAAAUAAAAUGAUCCAUUAUUAAUGAUUUUAUGUUAAAUA
rnacentral:rRNA from 1 species